AUUGAACGCUGGCGGCAGGCCUAACACAUGCAAGUCGAGCGAGCGGCGGACGGGUGAGUAAAGUCUGGGAAACUGCCUGACGGCGGGGGAUAACUACUGGAAACGGUAGCUAAUACUGCAUACCAUCAGAUGUGCCCAUAUGGUAUUAGCUAGUGGGUGGGGUAACUGCCCACCUAGGCGACGAUCCCUAGCUGGACUGCGAGGAUGACCAGCCAGACUGGAACGGAGACACGGUCCAGACUCCUACGGGAGCGGGCAGUGGGGAUUAUUGCACAAUGGGCGCAAGCCUGAUGCAGCCGUGCCGCGUGUGUGAAGAAGGCCUUCUGGUUGUAAAGCACAUUCAGCCGGGAGGCGUUACCCGCAGAAGAAGCACCGGCUAACUCCGUGCCAGCAGCCGCGGUAAUUC
rnacentral:rRNA from 1 species